GCAUAUCAAUAAGCGGAGGAAAAGAAAAUAACAAUGAUUCCCCUAGUAACUGCGAGUGAAGAGGGACAAGCUCAAAUUUUAAAUCUAUCGGGUUUUACCUGAUCGAGUUGUAAUUUGAAGAAGCGUUUUCUGCGUAUUUGGUCAGCCUAAGUCCUAUUGAAUGAGGCAUCAUGGAGGGUGAUAAUCCCGUCCGGUUGAUCAUUUGCGUUUUACGAUACGCUUUCUAAGAGUCAAGUUGUUUGGGAUUGCAGCUUAAAAUGGGAGGUAAAUUUCUCCUAAGGCUAAAUAACGGCGAGAGACCGAUAGCGAACAAGUACCGUGAGGGAAAGAUGAAAAGAACUUUGAAAAGAGAGUUAAACAGUACGUGAAAUUGUUGAAAGGGAAACGAUUGAAGCCAGUCGUACCAUCGGGUAAUCAGCCUUUCGGGUGCGAUUCUGUGGAGUGUGAGGAGCUUAAACACCUUCAUGUUUUGCAUAUUCGUGCUCUUGGGUGUACUUGCCCGUGUGGUUGGUUAACAUCAAUUUCGGGCACCAUAAAAUGGCUGGAGGAAUGUAGCUUCGAUCUUGUAUUGAAGUGUUAUAGCCUUCGGUAGAUGUGGUGAUCGAGAUUGAGGAUUGCAACGGAUACCUUUCGGGGCUACCUGUCUGAUCUCUGAUCGUUGCUUUGGUGCUGAAAGCGUGCUUAUAGUUAUCAAAGUCGAUGGUUAAUAGGUUAGAAUGGGUUAAAUUCGUUAAGGAUGUUGACGUAAUGGCUUUAAACGACCCGUCUUGAAACACGGACCAAGGAGUCUAACAUAUAUGCGAGUGUUAGGGUGAUUAAACCCUUACGCGUAAUGAAAGUAAUUUUGGUGGGAACACUUUUGUGCACCAUCGACCGAUCAGGAUAUUUUUUGAUAGAUUUGAGUAAGAGCA
rnacentral:rRNA from 1 species